rnacentral:rRNA from 1 species
UACAGAGGUGGCAAGCGUUGUUCGGAAUUACUGGGCGUAAAGGGCGCGUAGGCGGCCUACUAAGUCAGACGUGAAAUCCCCCGGCUUAACCUGGGAACUGCGUCUGAUACUGGAAGGCUUGAGUAUGGGAGAGGGAUGUAGAAUUCCAGGUGUAGCGGUGAAAUGCGUAGAUAUCUGGAGGAAUACCGGUGGCGAAGGCGGCAUCCUGGACCAUUACUGACGCUGAGGCGCGAAAGCUAGGGGAGCGAACGGG